AACGAACGCUGGCGGCAGGCCUAACACAUGCAAGUCGAGCGAAGCCUUCGGGCUUAGCGGCGGACGGGUGAGUAACGCGUGGGAACCUGCCUUUCGGUUCGGAAUAACGUCUGGAAACGGACGCUAACACCGGAUACGCCCGUUUGGGGAAAGUUUACGCCGAGAGAGGGGCCCGCGUCGGAUUAGGUAGUUGGUGGGGUAACGGUCUACCAAGCCGACGAGCCGUAGCUGGUCUGAGAGGAUGAUCAGCCACACUGGGACUGAGACACGGCCCAGACUCCUACGGGAGGUAGCAGUGGGGAAUAUUGGACAAUGGGCGCAAGCCUGAUCCAGCAGUGCCGCGUGAGUGAUGAAGGCCUUAGGGUUGUAAAGCUCUUUCGUCCACGACGAUGAUGACGGUAGUGGAAGAAGAAGCCCCGGCUAACUUCGUGCCAGCAGCCGCCGUAAAAC
rnacentral:rRNA from 1 species